rnacentral:rRNA from 1 species
UACGAAGGGGGCUAGCGUUGCUCGGAAUCACUGGGCGUAAAGGGUGCGUAGGCGGAUCUUUAAGUCAGGGGUGAAAUCCUGGAGCUCAACUCCAGAACUGCCUUUGAUACUGAGGAUCUCGAGUUCGGGAGAGGUGAGUGGAACUGCGAGUGUAGAGGUGAAAUUCGUAGAUAUUCGCAAGAACACCAGUGGCGAAGGCGGCUCACUGGCCCGGUACUGACGCUGAGGCACGAAAGCGUGGGGAGCAAACA